CGGUAGAUAUUCGCUGAAGGCACCCAUGCCAUAUUUGAAAGGUUGCUGUGCACCCGGAUGAGCACUGGUGUUCCAAAGCUGCUCUGUUUGGUCAAGAAGUCAGAAGAUGUCAGAGAAGAAGAAGAUGGCAUCGCAAUUCUCCGACAGGACCUGGAGGUGUAGAGGAAUCCCCUUCCUGGAAAACUGGUGGAGAAAACUGCACCCAGAUACUGCCAACCUGGUGCGAGGUCACCACCUGAGUCAGUGUCAUCUCAACAUGUGGAAGAAUGAUCGGCAAUGCUGUCAGAAAGUCAGGUGGCCUUCUCCAGUCUGCCAGGGAGAAGACUGCUCAGAGGAGAGCACAAAGGGUCCAAGUCGGUAGAGGGGUGGCCAAUAUUCGAGUCCUCAGCUUCUAAGAGGAAAAUCCUGUCCCUUGCAAGAGAAGACUAGGAUUGGUGCUUCAGGGAUGCAGAAACAUCCCACCAACUGAGUACCAACAGCAUCUCCAGUAUGUCUGUGGAAAAACUCCCAGUUCCAUUAGAAGACACCUCCACGACUUCUCAGGACAAGAGUACGGUAUGUGGGACCAAAUGGCCCUCAUUGAGAUCAUCUGGCUGCCACCAAGGACAGGUUGGCAGCUGCCAUAGA